CCUACGGGUGGCAGCAGUGAGGAAUAUUGGUCAAUGGACGAGAGUCUGAACCAGCCAAGUAGCGUGAAGGAUGACUGCCCUAUGGUUUGUAAACUUCUUUUAUAUGGGAAUAAAAUGUUCCACGUGUGGGAUUUUGUAUGUACCAUAUGAAUAAGGAUCGGCUAACUCCGUGCCAGCAGCCGCGGUAAUACGGAGGCACCGAGCGUUAUCCGAAUUUAUUGGGGUUAAAGGGGGCGUAGGUGGAUUGUUAAGUCAGUUGUGAAAGUUUGAGGCUCAACCGUAAAAUUGCAGUUGAAACUGGCAGUCUUGAGUACAGUAGAGGUGGGGGGAAUUAGUGGUGUAGCGGUGAAAUGCUUAGAUAUCACGAAGAACUCCGAUUGCGAAGGCAGCUUACUGGACUGCAACUGACACUGAGGCUCGAAAGCGUGGGUAUCAAACAGGAUUAGAUACCCCUGUAGUC
rnacentral:rRNA from 1 species